rnacentral:rRNA from 1 species
CCUAACACAUGCAAGUCGAACGGUAACAGGAAGAAGCUUGCUUCUUUGCUGACGAGUGGCGGACGGGUGAGUAAUGUCUGGGAAACUGCCUGAUGGAGGGGGAUAACUACUGGAAACGGUAGCUAAUACCGCAUAACGUCGCAAGACCAAAGAGGGGGACCUUCGGGCCUCUUGCCAUCGGAUGUGCCCAGAUGGGAUUAGCUUGUUGGUGGGGUAACGGCUCACCAAGGCGACGAUCCCUAGCUGGUCUGAGAGGAUGACCAGCCACACUGGAACUGAGACACGGUCCAGACUCCUACGGGAGGCAGCAGUGG